rnacentral:rRNA from 1 species
GACGAACGCUGGCGGCGUGCCUAAUACAUGCAAGUAGAACGCUGAAGGAGGAGCUUACUUCUCUGGAUGAGUUGCGAACGGGUGAGUAACGCGUAGGUAACCUGCCUGGUAGCGGGGGAUAACUAUUGGAAACGAUAGCUAAUACCGCAUAAGAGUAGAUGUUGCAUGACAUUUACUUAAAAGGUGCAAUUGCACCACUACCAGAUGGACCUGCGUUGUAUUAGCUAGUUGGUGGGGCAACGGCUUACCAAGGCGACGAUACAUAGCCGACCUGAAAGGGUGAUCGGCCAGGCUGGGACUGAGACACGGCCCAGACUCCUACGGGGGGCAGCAGUAGGGAAUCUUCGGCAAUGGACGGAAGUCUGACCGAGCAACGCCGCGUGAGUGAAGAAGGUUUUCGGAUCGUAAAGCUCUGUUGUAAGAGAAGAACGAGUGUGAGAGUGGAAAGUUCACACUGUGACGGUAUCUUACCAGAAAGGGACGGCUAACUACGUGCCAGCCGCCGCUGUAA